rnacentral:rRNA from 1 species
GACGAACGCUGGCGGCGUGCUUAACACAUGCAAGUCGAACGGGCCUGUCUUCUUUUUUGGGGGGUGGGUUGAGUGGCGAACGGGUGAGUAUCACGUGAGUAACCUGCCCUUCGGUCCUGGAUAACCGCUUGAAAGGGCGGCUAAUACGGGGUGGUCCGGUUGGUCCGCAUGGGCUGGUCGGGAUAGAUUCACUGUUUUUGGUGUUUCGGCGGGGGAUGGGCUCGCGGCCUAUCAGCUUGGUGGUGGGGUGGUGGCCUACCAAGGCGGUGACGGGUAGCCGGCCUGAGAGGGUGGGCGGCCACACUGGGACUGGGUUACGGCCCAGACUCCUGCGGGAGGCAGCAGUGGGGGGUAUUGCACAAUGGGCGGAAGCCUGAUGCAGCGACGUCGCGUGAGGGAUGGAGGCCUUCGGGUUGUGAACCUCUGUUUCCGGUGGUGAAGGCCCUGUCCGUGUGGUGGGGUUGACGGUAGCCGGGGAUGAAGCGCCGGCUAACUACGUG